rnacentral:tRNA from 4 species
GGGCGGUUAGCUCAGCUGGUUAGAGUGCUUGCUUGACAUGCAAGAGGUCGCAGGUUCAAAUCCUGCACCGCCCA